UUCUAAUUUCCUUUGCAGAAAAGCCUGAUGAAAACACAAACCUGAUGGGUGUGAUUCUGGCUGCUCUGACUGUUUUCCUUGUGAUGGUCGUCAUCGGUCUGGUGGUAAAAAUCAGGAAACUUCAGAAAGCUGAUGAAGACAAAGAUGAUCAACCAAGCCAGAAUCUGGGCUCUGAUGACUUGAACUAUGCAACAGUGACAUUUGCUAAAAGAGGAGGAAGAAGAGAGAUGGAGUCAAAUGUUGUGUAUGCUGCCACCAGAUAAACGCAACUGCAGCUCAGAGUGAAACUGAUGCCUCCUCAGUCUGCUGCUUGUCUGAGUCUUGUGGUUGGGGUUGUUACCAUUACAACUGUCAGAAAAAUGCCAUUUUGCAGUAAACGUCCUUCACUGUCUGAAAAAUGUGAUUUGUGUUGAAGAAUAAGAACAUCUGUGUAUGUCCAGACUCUUUGAUAGUGAGAGUCAGAGUGAGCAGCAAGUGGAGGAGAGAGAACACAUCACUGGUUAGACAGGAAGAGACAACACAGUGUGGUCUGAGGACAGCUGAGGUGGAAAUCAUGAGGCCUGUUAGCUUGAUGCUUUGUAAUUGGAUAUUUUAAUUAUGUCAAUGUGCUUCAUGUCUGAAUUAAAUACAGAAUUAACUUGAAAAAGACUAGUAAUUGCAUUUACACACUGAUCAGCCACAACAUUAAAACCACCUGCUUAAGAUUCUAAAGAUUCCUCUCAUGUUGCCAAAACAUCACAGGACCUCUGGGAGUGUCCAGUGUUUAAACACAUUUUGAAAUCAACAAGCAUCACACACAUAAGUAGAAAUUUUUCACAUAUUUUUUUUUCUCUAACCUCCAGCAUGCACGCACUACAAGAUUUGAAAAUAAUGGCACAUCACGAAAUGCAUGAGGAAACAGAUGCACACAAAAUGGCGAGUGUGGUGCAGCAACUUUCUGUAAUGCUAAUAAUUCAUUGCAGUGAGAAAAACACAGAAGCAGAAGGCUAAAUAACCGAGUCUGGAUGAGAAAAUGGUUGGGAAGAUGUGGUCAACAUCAGGCCAAAACUCAUGUAGUGUUCUGACAUCAGUGAAGCUCCUGACCUCUAUCUGCAAGACGUUAUAUAUAACACUGCUCCCACAUGAUUAGCUAAUUAGGGAAGUACAUUUAAAAAAGCAUUUAUAGAGAUCGCUUCUAAUAAACUGCUCUCCUUCAUCAGUACAA